rnacentral:rRNA from 1 species
GGACGUGCUAAUCUGCGAUAAGCGUCGGUGAGGUGAUAUGAACCGUUAUAACCGGCGAUUUCCGAAUGGGGAAACCCAGUGUGUUUCGACACACUAUCAUUAACUGAAUCCAUAGGUUAAUGAGGCGAACCGGGGGAACUGAAACAUCUAAGUACCCCGAGGAAAAGAAAUCAACCGAGAUUCCCCCAGUAGCGGCGAGCGAACGGGGAGGAGCCCAGAGCCUGAAUCAGUGUGUGUGUUAGUGGAAGCGUCUGGAAAGGCGCGCGAUACAGGGUGACAGCCCCGUACACAAAAAUGCACAUAUUGUGAGCUUGAUGAGUAGGGCGGGACACGUGGUAUCCUGUCUGAAUAUGGGGGGACCAUCCUCCAAGGCUAAAUACUCCUGACUGACCGAUAGUGAACCAGUACCGUGAGGGAAAGGCGAAAAGAACCCCGGCGAGGGGAGUGAAAAAGAACCUGAAACCGUGUACGUACAAGCAGUGGGAGCCUCUUUAUGGGGUGACUGCGUACCUUUUGUAUAAUGGGUCAGCGACUUAUAUUCUGUAGCAAGGUUAACCGAAUAGGGGAGCCGAAGGGAAACCGAGUCUUAACUGGGCGUUAAGUUGCAGGGUAUAGACCCGAAACCCGGUGAUCUAGCCAUGGGCAGGUUGAAGGUUGGGUAACACUAACUGGAGGACCGAACCGACUAAUGUUGAAAAAUUAGCGGAUGACUUGUGGCUGGGGGUGAAAGGCCAAUCAAACCGGGAGAUAGCUGGUUCUCCCCGAAAGCUAUUUAGGUAGCGCCUCGUGAAUUCAUCUCCGGGGGUAGAGCACUGUUUCGGCAAGGGGGUCAUCCCGACUUACCAACCCGAUGCAAACUGCGAAUACCGGAGAAUGUUAUCACGGGAGACACACGGCGGGUGCUAACGUCCGUCGUGAAGAGGGAAACAACCCAGACCGCCAGCUAAGGUCCCAAAGUCAUGGUUAAGUGGGAAACGAUGUGGGAAGGCCCAGACAGCCAGGAUGUUGGCUUAGAAGCAGCCAUCAUUUAAAGAAAGCGUAAUAGCUCACUGGUCGAGUCGGCCUGCGCGGAAGAUGUAACGGGGCUAAACCAUGCACCGAAGCUGCGGCAGCGACACUAUGUGUUGUUGGGUAGGGGAGCGUUCUGUAAGCCUGUGAAGGUGGCCUGUGAGGGUUGCUGGAGGUAUCAGAAGUGCGAAUGCUGACAUAAGUAACGAUAAAGCGGGUGAAAAGCCCGCUCGCCGGAAGACCAAGGGUUCCUGUCCAACGUUAAUCGGGGCAGGGUGAGUCGACCCCUAAGGCGAGGCCGAAAGGCGUAGUCGAUGGGAAACAGGUUAAUAUUCCUGUACUUGGUGUUACUGCGAAGGGGGGACGGAGAAGGCUAUGUUGGCCGGGCGACGGUUGUCCCGGUUUAAGCGUGUAGGCUGGUUUUCCAGGCAAAUCCGGAAAACCAAGGCUGAGGCGUGAUGACGAGGCACUACGGUGCUGAAGCGACAAAUGCCCUGCUUCCAGGAAAAGCCUCUAAGCAUCAGGUAACAUCAAAUCGUACCCCAAACCGACACAGGUGGUCAGGUAGAGAAUACCAAGGCGCUUGAGAGAACUCGGGUGAAGGAACUAGGCAAAAUGGUGCCGUAACUUCGGGAGAAGGCACGCUGAUAUGUAGGUGAAGCGACUUGCUCGUGGAGCUGAAAUCAGUCGAAGAUACCAGCUGGCUGCAACUGUUUAUUAAAAACACAGCACUGUGCAAACACGAAAGUGGACGUAUACGGUGUGACGCCUGCCCGGUGCCGGAAGGUUAAUUGAUGGGGUUAGCGGUAACGCGAAGCUCUUGAUCGAAGCCCCGGUAAACGGCGGCCGUAACUAUAACGGUCCUAAGGUAGCGAAAUUCCUUGUCGGGUAAGUUCCGACCUGCACGAAUGGCGUAAUGAUGGCCAGGCUGUCUCCACCCGAGACUCAGUGAAAUUGAACUCGCUGUGAAGAUGCAGUGUACCCGCGGCAAGACGGAAAGACCCCGUGAACCUUUACUAUAGCUUGACACUGAACAUUGAGCCUUGAUGUGUAGGAUAGGUGGGAGGCUUUGAAGUGUGGACGCCAGUCUGCAUGGAGCCGACCUUGAAAUACCACCCUUUAAUGUUUGAUGUUCUAACGUUGGCCCGUAAUCCGGGUUGCGGACAGUGUCUGGUGGGUAGUUUGACUGGGGCGGUCUCCUCCUAAAGAGUAACGGAGGAGCACGAAGGUUGGCUAAUCCUGGUCGGACAUCAGGAGGUUAGUGCAAUGGCAUAAGCCAGCUUGACUGCGAGCGUGACGGCGCGAGCAGGUGCGAAAGCAGGUCAUAGUGAUCCGGUGGUUCUGAAUGGAAGGGCCAUCGCUCAACGGAUAAAAGGUACUCCGGGGAUAACAGGCUGAUACCGCCCAAGAGUUCAUAUCGACGGCGGUGUUUGGCACCUCGAUGUCGGCUCAUCACAUCCUGGGGCUGAAGUAGGUCCCAAGGGUAUGGCUGUUCGCCAUUUAAAGUGGUACGCGAGCUGGGUUUAGAACGUCGUGAGACAGUUCGGUCCCUAUCUGCCGUGGGCGCUGGAGAACUGAGGGGGGCUGCUCCUAGUACGAGAGGACCGGAGUGGACGCAUCACUGGUGUUCGGGUUGUCAUGCCAAUGGCACUGCCCGGUAGCUAAAUGCGGAAGAGAUAAGUGCUGAAAGCAUCUAAGCACGAAACUUGC